UACGAAGGGGGCUAGCGUUGUUCGGAUUUACUGGGCGUAAAGCGCACGUAGGCGGAUCGUUAAGUCGGGGGUGAAAUCCUGGAGCUCAACUCCAGAACUGCCUUCGAUACUGGCGAUCUUGAGUCCGGAAGAGGUGAGUGGAACUCCUAGUGUAGAGGUGGAAUUCGUAGAUAUUAGGAAGAACACCAGUGGCGAAGGCGGCUCACUGGUCCGGUACUGACGCUGAGGUGCGAAAGCGUGGGGAGGCAAACAGGGAUUAGAAACCCCUGAUACGUCCU
rnacentral:rRNA from 1 species